AGUGGCGGACGGGUGAGUAACGCGUGGGUAACCUGCCUUAUACAGGGGGAUAACAGUCAGAAAUGACUGCUAAUACCGCAUAAGCGCACAGAGCUGCAUGGCUCAGUGCGAAAAACUCCGGUGGUAUAAGAUGGACCCGCGUUGGAUUAGCUAGUUGGUGAGGUAACGGCCCACCAAGGCGACGAUCCAUAGCCGGCCUGAGAGGGUGAACGGCCACAUUGGGACUGAGACACGGCCCAGACUCCUACGGGAGGCAGCAGUGGGGAAUAUUGCACAAUGGGGGAAACCCUGAUGCAGCGACGCCGCGUGGAGGAAGAAGGUCUUCGGAUUGUAAACUCCUGUUGUUGAAGAAGAUAAUGACGGUACUCAACAAGGAAGUGACGGCUAACUACGUGCCAGCAGCCGCGGUAAAACGUAGGUCACAAGCGUUGUCCGGAAUUACUGGGUGUAAAGGGAGCGCAGGCGGGAAGACAAGUUGGAAGUGAAAUCCAUGGGCUCAACUCAUGAACUGCUUUCAAAACUGUUUUUCUUGAGUAGUGCAGAGGUAGGCGGAAUUCCCGGUGUAGCGGUGGAAUGCGUAGAUAUCGGGAGGAACACCAGUGGCGAAGGCGGCCUACUGGGCACCAACUGACGCUGAGGCUCGAAAGUGUGGGUAGCAAACAGGAUUAGAUACCCUGGUAGUCCACACUGUAAACGAUGAUUACUAGGUGUUGGAGGAUUGACCCCUUCAGUGCCGCAGUUAACACAAUAAGUAAUCCACCUGGGGAGUACGACCGCAAGGUUGAAACUCAAAGGAAUUGACGGGGGCCCGCACAAGCAGUGGAGUAUGUGGUUUAAUUCGACGCAACGCGAAGAACCUUACCAAGUCUUGACAUCCUGCGACGGUGCUGGAAACAGUACUUUCCUUCGGGACGCAGAGACAGGUGGUGCAUGGUUGUCGUCAGCUCGUGUCGUGAGAUGUUGGGUUAAGUCCCGCAACGAGCGCAACCCUUAUGGUCAGUUACUACGCAAGAGGACUCUGGCCAGACUGCCGUUGACAAAACGGAGGAAGGUGGGGAUGACGUCAAAUCAUCAUGCCCUUUAUGACUUGGGCUACACACGUACUACAAUGGCGUUAAACAAAGAGAAGCAAGACCGCGAGGUGGAGCAAAACUCAGAAACAACGUCCCAGUUCGGACUGCAGGCUGCAACUCGCCUGCACGAAGUCGGAAUUGCUAGUAAUCGCAGAUCAGCAUGCUGCGGUGAAUACGUUCCCGGGCCUUGCACACACCGCCCGUCA
rnacentral:rRNA from 1 species